rnacentral:lncRNA from 1 species
GGAGCUGAGCACUGGGGGCGAGUUGGGCCUAGAGAUGCUCUCUGAGGUGGGCGCUGCAGAGGAGGGCGCCCCACAGCCUCUGGAGAACGGCAUGGCUUUGGUAGGCCCGGAUGGGACGGAGAUGGAAAGUUGUGCCCUGUCUGGCCCUCCUGGGGAGACACCCUCAGAAGUAGUCACAGACUCAUUGCCCGAUGGCCCAGCCCUUGCCGAUGAACCGGCUCCAGCAUCCCCACAAGAGCCAAUAACCAAGAAAGGGACCAUCAUCUCCCCCAGCCGCCAUGCCAUGCCAGGAUCUCGCCCCAGGAGCCGCAUUCCUGUCUUGUUGUCUGAAGAGGACACAGGCUCAGAGCCUUCGGGCUCACUGUCGGCCAAAGAGCGGUGG